CGGUCGACCGGCGCACGGGUGAGUAACGCGUAUCCAACCUGCCCACCACUUGGGGAUAACCUUGCGAAAGUAAGACUAAUACCCAAUGAUAUCUCUAGAAGACAUCUGAAAGAGAUUAAAGAUUUAUCGGUGAUGGAUGGGGAUGCGUCUGAUUAGCUUGUUGGCGGGGUAACGGCCCACCUAGUCAACGAUGGAUAGGGGUUCUAAGAGGAAGGCCCCCCACAUUGGAACUGAGACACGGUCCAA
rnacentral:rRNA from 1 species